AAAAAUUUACAAUUCCUCUCAUUAUUCAUCAACCUUCAUUUUCUCUCUCUUCCCAACCUGGACCAGCUCACCUUACAUGUGAACUGCCAUUAAAGCUUAUUCCAUUAUCCUUUGGUAUCAAGCUUCUUCCGUCAUUCAAUUACCUUACUUACAGUGGACAAGAACCGACCUUUUUGUUACUCUGAAUUUCAAGAAUAGCACCCUCCAGCUUCCUUUAACACCUCAAGAUCCCAAACCACUCCUUUCUG
rnacentral:misc_RNA from 1 species